AGCGUAGACGGAUGGACAAGUCUGAUGUGAAAGGCUGGGGCUCAACCCCGGGACUGCAUUGGAAACUGCCCGUCUUGAGUGCCGGAGAGGUAAGCGGAAUUCCUAGUGUAGCGGUGAAAUGCGUAGAUAUUAGGAGGAACACCAGUGGCGAAGGCGGCUCACUGGACGGUAACUGACGUUGAGGCUCGAAAGCGUGGGGAGCAAACA
rnacentral:rRNA from 1 species